GGACCACAGCUCAGUGGUGGAGCAUCUGCUUUGCAUGCAGAAGGCCCCAGAUUCAAUACCUGCCAUCUCCA